rnacentral:rRNA from 1 species
UACAAGGAAUUGACGGGGCCCGCACAAGCGGUGGAGCAUGUGGUUAAUUCGACGCAACGCGAAGAACCUUACCAGGGCUUGACAUCCCCUGACCGCGUAUGAAAGUACGUUUUCACCCUCGGGUGACAGGGAGACAGGUGGUGCAUGGUUGUCGUCAGCUCGUGUCGUGAGAUGUUGGGUUAAGUCCCGCAACGAGCGCAACCCCUACGUUUAGUUGCUAACAGGUGAAGCUGAGCACUCUAGACGAACUGCCGUUGACAAAACGGAGGAAGUGGGAUGACGUCAAAUCAUCAUGCCCCUUAUGUUCUGGGCUACACACGUGCUACAAUGGCCGGUACAGACGGAGGCGAAGCCGCGAGGCGGAGCAAAUCCGAAAAAGCCGGUCUCAGUUCGGAUUGCAGGCUGCAAUUCGCCUGCAUGAAGUCGGAAUCGCUAGUAAUCGCAGGUCAGCAUACUGCGGUGAAUACGUUCCCGGGCCUU